UCACCCUUCAACCUUCCUCUCUCUCAAACCUCGGUCACCACCACACGACCUUACUGAACUCGACACCCACACAUCUCACGCUGCACCCUCCUCUUCUUCCUUUUUCCCGGCGAAGAGCGCCGGCUUCCCGAGCAGCAGCAACCGCGGAAGAACCCACGGCCGCCGCAGUCACGAAACAGCCACCGCCGCCUGACCUAGCUUCCCUGAAACCACCGAUUCCCUCCUCCUUCCGACGACAACAGCUCGCUGCCGCCGC
rnacentral:lncRNA from 1 species